rnacentral:rRNA from 1 species
GGAUGAACGCUGGCGGCGUGCUUAACACAUGCAAGUCGAACGAAACACCUUAUUUGAUUUUCUUCGGAACUGAAGAUUUGGUGAUUGAGUGGCGGACGGGUGAGUAACGCGUGGGUAACCUGCCCUGUACAGGGGGAUAACAGUCAGAAAUGACUGCUAAUACCGCAUAAGACCACAGCACCGCAUGGUGCAGGGGUAAAAACUCCGGUGGUACAGGAUGGACCCGCGUCUGAUUAGCUGGUUGGUGAGGUAACGGCUCACCAAGGCGACGAUCAGUAGCCGGGUUGAGAGAGUGAACGGCCACAUUGGGACUGAGACACGGCCCAAACUCCUACGGGAGGCAGCAGUGGGGAAUAUUGCACAAUGGGGGAAACCCUGAUGCAGCGACGCCGCGUGAGUGAAGAAGUAUUUCGGUAUGUAAAGCUCUAUCAGCAGGGAAGAAAAUGACGGUACCUGACUAAGAAGCCCCGGCUAACUACGUG